rnacentral:rRNA from 1 species
CUACGGGGGGCAGCAGUGGGGAAUCUUAGACAAUGGGCGCAAGCCUGAUCUAGCCAUGCCGCGUGAGUGAUGAAGGCCUUAGGGUCGUAAAGCUCUUUCGCUGGGGAAGAUAAUGACGGUACCCAGUAAAGAAACCCCGGCUAACUCCGUGCCAGCAGCCGCGGUAAUACGGAGGGGGUUAGCGUUGUUCGGAAUUACUGGGCGUAAAGCGCGCGUAGGCGGACUGUUAAGUCGGGGGUGAAAUCCCGGGGCUCAACCCCGGAACGGCCUUCGAUACUGGCAGUCUGGAGUUCGAGAGAGGUGAGUGGAAUUCCGAGUGUAGAGGUGAAAUUCGUAGAUAUUCGGAGGAACACCAGUGGCGAAGGCGGCUCACUGGCUCGAUACUGACGCUGAGGUGCGAAAGUGUGGGGAGCAAACAGGAUUAGAUACCCGAGUAGUC